UUUGAUAAUACUUGCAGGACUAAAUUAAAAAAAUGAAGAAAAAGAAGACGAUAUUAUAUUGUAAUAUUUCGAGCCACAAAAUGUGCAAUUAUUGAAACUAUAUUUUCCUAUAAAUAGAAGCUCAUUCUUCUUUCAUUCUCACCAAUUCACUAAGUCUCACAAGAGCAAUUAUUAUAGAGAAAUUAUAGAGAGAAAGAAGAAGAGAAGUCUGCUACCUCACUAUUCCAGUAUCCAGUUUUCUUCUAAGGUAAGGGGUAUUAUUUCUUUCGUAUUCAUGAAGAGAGUUAUUUUCUUUCAAUACUCGUAAGGGUUAUUCCAUUUUUUAUUAUUCUGUUGGAAUAACCUGUCUACGCGGAC
rnacentral:lncRNA from 1 species